rnacentral:rRNA from 1 species
UACGUAGGGUGCGAGCGUUGUCCGGAAUUAUUGGGCGUAAAGAGCUUGUAGGCGGUUUGUCGCGUCUGCUGUGAAAGCCCGGGGCUUAACUCCGGGUCUGCAGUGGGUACGGGCAGGCUAGAGUGUGGUAGGGGAGACUGGAAUUCCUGGUGUAGCGGUGAAACGCGCAGAUAUCAGGAGGAACACCGAUGGCGAAGGCAGGUCUCUGGGCCGUAACUGACGCUGAGGAGCGAAAGCGUGGGGAGCGAACAGG